CCCUUUGGGUGUGACUGCGUACCUUUUGUAUAAUGGGUCAGCGACUUAUAUUCUGUAGCAAGGUUAACCGAAUAGGGGAGCCGGAGGGAAACCGAGUCUUAAUUGGGCGUUAAGUUGCAGGGUAUAGACCCGAAACCCGGUGAUCUAGCCAUGGGCAGGUUGAAGGUUGGGUAACACUAACUGGAGGACCGAACCGACUAAUGUUGAAAAAUUAGCGGAUGACCUGUGGCUGGGGGUGAAAGGCCAAUCAAACCGGGAGAUAGCUGGUUCUCCCCGAAAGCUAUUUAGGUAGCGCCUCGUGAAUUCAUCUCCGGGGGUAGAGCACUGUUUCGGCUAGGGGGCCAUCCCGGCUUACCAACCCGAUGCAAACUGCGAAUACCGGAGAAUGUUAUCACGGGAGACACACGGCGGGUGCUAACGUCCGUCGUGAAGAGGGAAACAACCCAGACCGCCAGCUAAGGUCCCAAAGUCAUGGUUAAGUGGGAAACGAUGUGGGAAGGCCCAGACAGCCAGGAUGUUGGCUUAGAAGCAGCCAUCAUUUAAAGAAAGCGUAAUAGCUCACUGGUCGAGUCGGCCUGCGCGGAAGAUGUAACGGGGCUAAACCAUGCACCGAAGCUGCGGCAGCGACGCUUAUGCGUUGUUGGGUAGGGGAGCGUUCUGUA
rnacentral:rRNA from 1 species